rnacentral:rRNA from 1 species
GCGGCAGGCCUAAUACAUGCAAGUCGAACGCACCUUCGGGUGAGUGGCGGACGGGUGAGUAACACGUGGGAACGUGCCUUUUGGUUCGGAAUAAUCCGGGGAAACCUGGCCUAAUACCGAAUGUGCCCUUCGGGGGAAAGAUUUAUCGCCAUUAGAGCGGCCCGCGUCUGAUUAGCUUGUUGGUGGGGUAAUGGCCCACCAAGGCUACGAUCAGUAGCUGGUCUGAGAGGAUGAUCAGCCACACUGGGACUGAGACACGGCCCAGACUCCUACGGGAGGCAGCAGUAGGGAAUCUUGCGCAAUGGGCGAAAGCCUGACGCAGCCAUGCCGCGUGAAUGAUGAAGGUCUUAGGAUUGUAAAAUUCUUUCAGCGGGGAAGAUAAUGACUGUACCCGCAGAAGAAGCUCCGGCUAACUUCGUGCCAGCAGCCGCGGUAAUACGAAGGGGGCUAGCGUUGCUCGGAAUUACUGGGCGUAAAGGGCGCGU